GCACCAGAGCAAUGAGGAAGCAGGACUCAGGCCCCUGACUCCUAACUCCUGGUGAAGCCCACCCUGAGCUCAAGAGCAGAGCUGCCCCCAUCGGGUGUGGAGAGACGGAGCCUCCUCCCCAGCCAUGCCUCCUUAUCGGCCUACGGGAGCUGCUGUGGCUCUGACCCCUGUACCUGGCUCUGUCGACUGGAAUAGUCAGUGGGCAGCCAGCACACUUUUGGGUGCUCUGUAUGAGUGGGAUUUUCUCCUGAUUAGACAUUUUAAAAGAUUGUCAACAAAAAGAACAAACUCUGUAAAA
rnacentral:lncRNA from 1 species